GAAUGAUCAUCAUAAGAGCUACAAAACAGUCAAUGCACAGAACCACAGAGGCAAGACCAGGGUCCAGAUAGACCCAUGAUCCAUGGUGACCUGUGAAGAGACAAAGCACAAAGACUGAGGCUGGCAUGCAGUAGACCCUUUCAAUUCCACCCAGAUAAGACUAAUGUUUUAGGACACCAUGUUUUCACCAAGAUGAUUAUCAGAGGUGAGACGUAGUCAGGGGGGGUCGCUCGGAGGAAACGCAUUCGUACAAACGUUCAUUAGCACCCUUGUUGAUUGGAUUGUCUCUGUUUUGACAAUGGGAAGGAGAUGUUCAGAUGUUGUACACUGGAUCUGAGAAGAAGCAUUGACGAGUAAUAUAUUAUAUUUGUAAGAUUACAGAACUGUCAGUUUAAUCUUGCCUAUGACCUUUGUCCCUGGACUUUGCUGUGCAUCCCCACAUUCUCUACAUAGUUCUGUCAGGUUUUCUAGCACACAAGUAUAAUUACUUUCUCAAUAACAUCUAAAUGCAUAUGACAAAAAAAAUCGUUCACUUUGGGAGGGUCCAUCGGUGCUCUUUUUGUUCUAUAGCUUUUCGAGAUAUAUUUCUACUGAGCAGAGGUCGCACCAACUUUGCAAUUCUCCCUUCAUACUGAUGUUGCUAAUUAACGUGAUUGCUUAAUCCCAGGUGUAUUUUCGGAUUUCACGUCUGUAAAGCACUUUUUUAACGGUGUGGAUGUAAUGUGUAAAUAACUGUAUCAAGCGUCGCAAAAAAGCACCAACACACAUGUUUAGAAGUGUUCCACAACACCCCAUCAAAACCAGUUGUCUUGCUUCACCUUGAACCAAGAGGUUUACAACUGUAUACAAUUUAAUAAAAUAAUAAGGUAAUUUUCAACAUCAAUUAUCAAGUUCGAGUGGCCGACUGCUUAGAGCAAACGUCCCAAAACAUUGUUGUUUUGUUCGACACGGUUCGAAUCCAGGUUGUGGCGAUCUUUCAUUAAAAUAUAUUUUAAUCUAUAUUUUCUUAAAUGACUUUCUUAAGUGGCUGUGAUGCACAAUGACCGUCCGAACAGAAUCCCCCCUUUUGUCCAAAUGUGUCGGUGGUGGAAAGCUGCAGCCUCGCGAAAAAGUAUCGAUACACAUGUUUGGGAGUGUUGAACGAUACGCCACCAAAACCAGUUGUCUUGGUUCCCUCUGAACCAAAUAGUUUUCUAGCCACUGC
ensembl:lncRNA